CCUACGGGAGGCUGCAGUGGGGAAUAUUGGGCAAUGGGCGCAAGCCUGACCCAGCAACGCCGCGUGAAGGAAGAAGGCUUUCGGGUUGUAAACUUCUUUUGUCAGGGACGAAGCAAGUGACGGUACCUGACGAAUAAGCCACGGCUAACUACGUGCCAGCAGCCGCGGUUAUACGGAGGUGGCAAGCGUUAUCCGGAUUUAGUGGGUGUAAAGGGCGUGUAGGGGGGAAUGCAAGUCAGAUGUGAAAACUAUGGGCUCAACCCAUAGCCUGCAGUUGAAACUGUAUGUCUUGAGGGCGGGAGAGGCAAUCGGAAUUCCGUGGGUAGCGGUGAAAUGCGUAGAUAUACGGAGGAACACCAGUGGCGAAGGCGGAUUGCUGGACAGUAACUGACGCUGAGGCGCGAAAGCGUGGGGAGCAAACAGGAUUAGAUACCCGUGUAGUC
rnacentral:rRNA from 1 species